ACUCCUACGGGAGGCAGCAGUGGGCAUUAUUGCACAAUGGGCGAAAGCCUGAUGCAGCAACGCCGCGUGAGGGAAGAAGUCCUGCGGGAUGUAAACCUCUGUCCUAUGAGACGAAUAAUGACGGUAUCAUAGGAGGAAGCCAUGGCUAACUACGUGCCAGCAGCCGCGGUAAUACGUAGAUGGCAAGCGUUAUCCGGAAUGACUGGGCGUAAAGGGUGCGUAGGCGGUUCUUUAAGUCAGAUGUGAAAAUCCAGUGCUUAACAUUGGAACUGCAUUUGAAACUGGAGAACUUGAGUGCAGGAGAGGAAAGUGGAAUUCCUAGUGUAGCGGUGAAAUGCGUAGAUAUUAGGAGGAACACCAGUGGCGAAGGCGGCUUACUGGACUGUAACUGACACUGAGGCUCGAAAGCGUGGGGAGCAAACAGGAUUAGAUACCCUGGUAGUC
rnacentral:rRNA from 1 species